GCCUGCAUGUUUGAAGCUAGGGCAAUCUGAAGUUCAGGGAGUUUCCAUGAAAAGAUGUUUUACUUAAUGUGAGGUUGUCAUAUGUAGAUAUCUGUGAGAGAUGGCUAAGCUGAUGAGGUUUGAAAUUUGAAGCAAAAGGAGACCGUUUGAUAUAAAUGUUACAGAGAAAACCAAAAGCCAUGCCUUUACCUUCAAGACAAGUAAUUCUUUGAGAAAUACUAACAGCUCCUUGGCAACUAUAGUAACUAUCUUUCAGCCCUAUGUUCCAUGGUCUU